GACGAACGCUGGCGGCGUGCUUAACACAUGCAAGUCGAGCGGUAAGGCCCUUUCGGGGGUACGACGAGCGGCGAACGGGUGAGUAACACGUGGGUGACCUGCCUUUAGCUCUGGGAUAAGCCUGGGAAACCGGGUCUAAUACCGGAUAUGACUCCGCGGCGCAUGUUGUGGGGUGGAAAGCCUUGUGCGGCUGGAGAUGGGCCCGCGGCCUAUCAGCUUGUUGGUGGGGUGAUGGCCUACCAAGGCGACGACGGGUAGCCGGCCUGAGAGGGCGACCGGCCACACUGGGACUGAGACACGGCCCAGACUCCUACGGGAGGCAGCAGUGGGGAAUCUUGCGCAAUGGGCGAAAGCCUGACGCAGCGACGCCGCGUGAGGGAUGACGGCCUGGUUGUAAG
rnacentral:rRNA from 1 species